rnacentral:rRNA from 1 species
UACGUAGGGGGCUAGCGUUGUCCGGAAUCAUUGGGCGUAAAGCGCGCGUAGGCGGCCAGAUAAGUCCGGUGUGAAAGUCACAGGCUCAACCUGUGAAUGCCGCUGGGAACUGUCUGGCUAGAGUCCGGAAGGGGCGAGUGGAAUUCCUGGUGUAGCGGUGAAAUGCGCAGAUAUCAGGAGGAACACCAAUGGCGAAGGCAGCUCGCUGGAACGGUACUGACGCUGAGGCGCGAAAGCGUGGGGAGCGAACAGG